GGUGUUCUAUAUAUGUUUCACCAUAAGGGCCCUCAAAUCUCAUUUGUCAUCAUAUCUCUGACUAUUUCUCCAGUCUCCUAUUUCAUAAAGUAUGAGUUUGUUUUUCUGUUUAUAUUGUUAUGUUUAUUUCACACGGGAUCUGUGUGCCUGGUAUGAUUGUUAUGUCUAUACCAUAAGCCCACUACACUUUCCAUGAGAGUGGGAUAGUG